ACAGUCAAAUCCUACUUUAAUAAUCUACACUUGUUUAGUCCCUUUGCUUCUUCAAGAAUCUAGGGUUUCUCUUCUCCACCGACGAGAAGCCUCCUUUUCCCCUUUUUCCUUCACAAUUCUCCCCCAAAUUCUCUCUAUAUAACUUGGUUUUCCCGUUCUUGAUAAAUAAUUAACGUUUUUCUAUAUGGGUGAAAGCGAUUCAGAAAGUCCUGAAAGGGUCAAAGCCAAGAAUGUAUCUGAAAAAUCUGAAAAUUCUGAUGAAUUAAAGGGUUCAGAGGGUAAUUCAAGCAAGAUGGUUUCUGGGUUUGAUUCAGUUUUUGAUAUUUCUGGAAAAAGUUUGGAUUUUCCAUUGUUAGAAGGUGUAGAAAGUGAUGUUGAAGGUUUGUACAUGUACAAGAAUGUAUUUAAUUUAAUUCCUAAGGCAAUUGGUGCACUUGGGAAGGUUAAGGUACUUAAGUUUUUUGGGAAUGAGGUUAAUUUGUUUCCAAUUGAAGAGUUGAGGAAGUUGGUGGAACUUGAGAGUUUGCAAGUGAAAGUGUCUUUGCCUGGUAUGAGUGGAUUGGAUUUGGAGAAGUUGAAGAAUUUGAAAGAAUUGGAGCUUUGUAAAGUUCCUCCUAGGCCUUCUGCUUUUCCAAUUUUGAGAGAUAUUGCUGGUUUAAAGAGGCUGACUAAGUUGUCUGUUUGUCAUUUUUCUAUCAGAUACCUGCCUCCAGAAAUUGCCUGUCUCACUAAUUUGGAGUGCCUGGAUCUUUCAUUCAAUAAGAUGAGGAAUUUACCUGUUGAGAUAACUCAUCUUACCUCCUUACUGUCACUGAAGGUUGCUAAUAAUAAAUUGAUUGAAGUACCUCCGGAUUUGUCUUCUCUGCAAAGAUUAGUGAGUUUGGACUUUUCUAACAAUAGAUUAACAUCCUUGGAGAAUCUUGAUCUCCUAUCAAUGUAUAAUUUGCAGAGACUCAAUCUUCGGGACAAUAAACUUCUUAGGUGUUGUUCCAUUCCAUCGUGGGUAUGCUGCAAUUUGGAGGGGAAUUUCAUAGAUUUGUCCAAGGAUGACUUCACCAGUUCAUCUUCUGAAAUGGACGUGCUUGAAGGUUAUGAUCAGGAGGAAACAUGUGAGAAUUCCCAAAAUGGAGCUUCUAUUGUAUUGUCAGGUCAUUCAACCAAUCAUCGAUGUUUUCGGCCUCGAAAAUCAAAGAAAUGGAAGCGGCAGUAUUAUUUGCAGCAGAGGGCUCGUCAAGAGAGAUUAAAUAACAGCAGGAGAUGUGUUGCCUGCAAACAUUCUGAGCUAAUUGACGAUUCUCUGUUGGAAGGUUCAUCAAGCAUAGUGGAUGCCGAUACAAAUGAUAAAGAACUGUUUACCGAAGAAGCUGAGUGCAAAGACUCUCUAGCUAGUGUUGCUGAUGAACAUAUCAGAUCAAAGGAGGACCAUUGUGUAGAAAGAUCUUCAUGUGUUGGUUCUGACUCCAUUGAAGCAUGCAUAGAUAUUCAGAAUUGUAAAAAAUGUGAUGCUUCAGUAGUUUCUCUUUCUGACGCUGCUGAUUUGGUCGAGGGAAGCUCGUCUUCUGAGGUGUCUAAUAAUCCUCCAAAAUCGAAAAGGCACCUCGAUGGGGUAAUUGAUAAUCCAAAACCAUGCAAAACCCGCAGACCAACGGACCAUUCAGAGGUAUCCUGCAAAUACAACAUGAUGUCUUUCUGUGGUAUUGAUGAUUACUUACCAGAUGGCUUUUAUGACGCUGGACGAGAUCGGCCAUUUAUGUCGCUUAGGAGUUAUGAGCAGAAAUUGCAUCUGGAUUCACGGGAAGUCAUUCUAAUUGACAGGCAAAGAGAUGAAAUGCUGGAUGCCAUUGCCCGACGUGCUCAAGCUCUGAUCUUUCAUUUUAAUCAGACAGAUGGUCUGUUUAAAGAUAGAGAACAUGCUGCUGCAGACAACUUGCAGGUCGCAUCACUGCUUGCGCUUUUAGUGUCGGAUCAUUUUGGUGGAAGUGACAGAAGUAGUAUUUUACAGAGUGCAAGGAAAGAAGUAUCUGGGUCAAACUAUAACAAGCCUUUUAUCUGCACAUGCCCUACAGGAAAUGAUGACACUACCAGCAUGAUCACAAAAGACAGUCCUAGCUUCUUAGGAGAUAUACUUUUCCUUGAUCUUUGUGAGAAAGCACUUCGCUCCAUAAAAUCAAGGCAAAAUUCUAUUGUUGUUCCUAUUGGGAGUUUGCAGUUGGGUGUAUGUAGGCAUAGGGCCUUGCUUAUGAAGUACCUGUGUGACCGAAUAGAACCUCGAAUAUCUUGUGAGCUUGUCAGGGGUUAUUUGGAUUUUUCGCCGCACGCGUGGAAUGUGAUUGUGGUAAAGAGGGGUGAAUCAUGGGUUCGGAUGAUAGUUGAUGCAUGCCAUCCCCUUGAUAUCCGAGAAGAGACAGAUCCAGAGUACUUUUGCAGGUAUGUCCCACUGAGCCGGAUUAAUGUACCUGUUGUGCCAGAUGGUAGUCCUGUUCAAGUUAGUUCUUUUCCUACUCUAUCCAGUUCGGAUAAAAUUCAUAAAGCUCCUUCCUCAACCCUUAUACAGUGUGAAUUGGGAUCGCAUGAGACUCUGGCAAAGGUGCGAACUUUAGAGGUAUCCAAGUCCUCGCCGGAUGAGAUUAAGAAUUUUGAGUUUAGCUGCAUUGGAGAAGUUAGGAUGUUGGGUGUCUUAAACAGUUCGUGCAUUGUCAAAUAUUAUGGCCAUCAGAUAUCUUCAAGAUGGGUUCCUUCAUCAGAUGGUAGUUCAGAAAGUCGUACUUUGCAGUCUGCCAUUUUGAUGGAGCACAUUAAAGGGGGUUCACUGAAGAAAUAUGUAGAUAAGCUAUCUAAUGCUGGUGAGAAGCGUCUGCCCAUUGAGCUGUCGGUAUUUAUUGCCCGAGAUGUAGCAAGCGCGUUGACAGAGCUGCAUUCUAGGCAUAUCAUACAUCGUGAUAUAAAAAGUGAAAACAUCCUGAUAGAUCUGGAUAAGAAGAGAGCUGAUGGUACCCCUACAGUAAAGCUAUGUGACUUUGAUAUGGCGAUUCCCCUUCGUUCAUACUUACAUACUUGCUGCAUUGGCCAUAUUGGAAUUCCUCCACCGGAUGUAUGUGUUGGUACACCUCGUUGGAUGGCUCCUGAAGUCUUUCGGGCAAUGAAUGAGCGCAACGUCUAUGGGUUGAGAGUCUGUCCUUUCCUGAAGAAUUAUGUACACUGUAUCUGAAAUGAGCUUAAAUGAACGUGGGGGUUUAUAUAGCCGACCAGGCUUGUUUGGGUUUCAGUGUAGUUGUUGUUUGCUUUGGGAAUGACAUCUGAAGUCUCCAAUCCUUGAAGGGUGCUGAUAUUUGGUCCUUCGGGUGUGUCCUGCUGGAAUUGUUAACGCUGCAACUUCCGUACUCAGAGUCAUCUGAGUUAGAUAGCCACAAUUCUCUUCAGGCGGGUAAACGGCCAGAACUACCCAAAGAACUGGAGGCAAUGACUGCAUCCAAAGAAGAACUAGAGGAUCUAGCAAAGUCUUGUUCUGGCUCGGACUCUGACAAUAAACUAUCUGAAUCUGGUAUCCUGAGAUUUCUUGUUUCAAUUUAUCACUGGUGUACUGAGAAGGAUCCAGACGACCGUCCCACAGCAGAGAACCUCUACCACCUCUUGCUUACCUGUGCUAAUUCCCUCCCUUCACAAAGUCAUGAAGAUUCGUGAUCUUCAAAAUUUUGUAGCCUUAGGAUGUUGUAGAUUAGCAUUAGAUUAUUGAGCAGGAGUUAAAAGGACCCAAUAUUUGGGUCUGUUGACCCUCCUCAGUGAGCAAAUGUACCUUGUUCUUUACCUCAUUUCAAUUGAAAACGAUAGGGACGCGUAUUCGUGUCCAAAGGACAUGUA